rnacentral:sRNA from 1 species
UUUUGUUUUCAACAGGAUCAAGCACCCGUCUUUGCCUCUUCAAAAUAACUAUAUAAAACGGUUUAAUCAUGCAUUACUACUCUUAGAAGAACCUAAUUCUGAUAUAAGUUAUACGAUGAAGAGAAAUGGUUACCUCUCUCUCCUGUUAUUGAGGGCCGGACUUGCUUCUUAGGCUCAUCAUCGCCUCCAACCCACAUUUUCUCAUCCCACUCCUGCCCAGAUUUCAACAUCCUUAAAAUAUUAUCAACUCUUGGGUCCUCUUUUUCUUUCCUCCAUACCAAAGAUUUUGGGCAAUCAUUGUCUGCUGGGUCCACAAUAUAUGUGAUAUCCACCUACAUAGAUAAUCAUUGUUAAUUUCAGAGUGUAUGUACUUCAUCUUUU